GUGGGGAAUAUUGCGCAAUGGGGGAAACCCUGACGCAGCGACGCCGUGUGAGGGAAGAAGGCUUUCGGGUCGUAAACCUCUGUCAGAAAGGAAGAACCUCCCAAGUCCGAAUAGGGCUUGGGACUGACGGUACUUUCAAAGGAAGCACCGGCUAACUCCGUGCCAGCAGCCGCGGUAAUACGGAGGGUGCAAGCGUUAAUCGGAAUCACUGGGCGUAAAGCGCGCGUAGGCCGCUUGGUAAGUCGGACGUGAAAGCCCUCGGCUCAACCGGGGAACUGCGUUCGAUACUGCGAGGCUUGAGUCCUGGAGAGGGUGGUGGAAUUCCGGGUGUAGGAGUGAAAUCCGUAGAUAUCCGGAGGAACACCGGUGGCGAAGGCGGCCACCUGGACAGGUACUGACGCUGAGGCGCGAAAGCGUGGGGAGCAAACAGGAUUAGAAACCCUGGUAGUCC
rnacentral:rRNA from 1 species